rnacentral:rRNA from 1 species
UACGAAGGGGGCUAGCGUUGCUCGGAAUCACUGGGCGUAAAGGGUGCGUAGGCGGGUCUUUAAGUCAGGGGUGAAAUCCUGGAGCUCAACUCCAGAACUGCCUUUGAUACUGAAGAUCUUGAGUUCGGGAGAGGUGAGCGGAACUGCGAGUGUAGAGGUGAAAUUCGUAGAUAUUCGCAAGAACACCAGUGGCGAAGGCGGCUCACUGGCCCGAUACUGACGCUGAGGCACGAAAGCGUGGGGAGCGAACAGG